UCUCCUAUAGCUCAGUUGGUAGAGCGGGUGACUGUUAAUCACUAGGUCGGCGGUUCAAGUCCGUCUGGGGGAG
rnacentral:tRNA from 1 species